UACGUAGGGUGCGAGCGUUGUCCGGAAUUACUGGGCGUAAAGAGCUCGUAGGCGGUCUGUCGCGUCGGGCUGUGAAAACCCGAGGCUCAACCUCGGGCCUGCAGUCGAUACGGGCAAACUAGAGUACUGCAGGGGAGACUGGAAUUCCUGGUGUAGCGGUGAAAUGCGCAGAUAUCAGGAGGAACACCGGUGGCGAAGGCGGUUCUCUGGGCAUUACCUGACGCUGAGGAGCGAAAGUGUGGGGAGCGAACAGG
rnacentral:rRNA from 1 species